rnacentral:lncRNA from 1 species
GCCAUCACAAUUAAUUAAUUGAAAUUUACAAUGAAUAAAUUGACAAAAUAUAAACCAGAGAUUACUUUAAGAUCCCUUUCUUGUAGUAUGCUUCUAAAAUAGGCACUUUUCACUUUUGGAGACUGAAGCAAUUUCAUUCAUGUUAGUAAGGGACGUACCAGCUCAACACAAACACUUUUGAAGACAAUUAGUAGCACACCAAUUGUUUAUUAAUCAUCGAAACAAGGAUUAGAACAUUUAGGUCCAACAAUCUCCCCCUUUUUGAUGAUGACAAACAAUUGGUAAACAAUAAGAUAAUAAUCAUAAGUGUAGUGUGUGCAUUUUAAAAAUUACUCCCCCUUAAUGUGCUCCCCCUGUCAAAAAUACUUUAUGCCAUAUUUAAAAUGUGAGAAGGCACAUAAGGGAGGUUUUGACUCAAUGCAAUGAGAUACAAUGGAUCCUAUAUGAAUGAAUGAGCCCCAACAAAAAUGCAACUCAAAUGAAGAAGCUGUAAAUACACACAAUAUUCACAAUCCAAGAGAGAGAAAAAUAUUUAAUCCAAAAGAGUCAAAUAAAAAUCAAGGUAAUAACAAAUAUAGUCAAUAUCCAUAAAAAUCAUCAAAUAUGUACAUAUAUGAUACCAUCUCUCCCCCUUUUGACAUCAUAAAAAAAAG